UCUUUUAGCAGGGAAGAAGNGAAANCUGACGGUNNNGCAGAAAAANNNCCNGGNNUAACUACGUGCCAGCAGNNGCGGUAAUUANGUAGGGCGCAAGCGUUAUCCGGAAUUAUUGGGCGUAAAGAGNUCGUAGGCGGUUGUCGCNUNUGNUGUGAAANCCCGAGGCUCAACCUCGGGUCUGCAGUGGGUACGGGCAGACUAGAGUGCGGUAGGGGAGAUUGGAAUUCCUGGUGUAGCGGUGGAAUGCGCAGAUAUCAGGAGGAACACCGAUGGNGAAGGCAGAUCUCUGGGCCGUUACUGACGNUGAGGAGCGAAAGGGUGGGGAGCAAACAGGCUUAGAUACCCUGGUAGUCCACCCCGUAAACGUUGGGAACUAGUUGUGGGGUCCAUUCCACGGAUUCCGUGACGCAGNUAACGCAUUAAGUUCCCCGCCUGGGGAGUACGGCCGCAAGGNUAAAACUCAAAGGAAUUGACGGGGACCCGCACAAGCGGCGGAGCAUGCGGAUUAAUUUGAUGCAACGCGAAGAACCUUACCAAGGCUUGACAUAUACGAGAACGGGCCAGAAAUGGUCAACUCUUUGGACACUCGUAAACAGGUGGUGCAUGGUUGUCGUCAGCUCGUGUCGUGAGAUGUUGGGUUAAGUCCCGCAACGAGCGCAACCCUCGUUCUAUGUUGCCAGCACGUAAUGGUGGGAACUCAUGGGAUACUGCCGGGGUCAACUCGGAGGAAGGUGGGGAUGACGUCAAAUCAUCAUGCCCCUUAUGUCUUGGGCUUCACGCAUGCUACAAUGGCCGGUACAAAGGGCUGCAAUACCGCGAGGUGGAGCGAAUCCCAAAAAGCCGGUCCCAGUUCGGAUUGAGGUCUGCAACUCGACCUCAUGAAGUCGGAGUCGCUAGUAAUCGCAGAUCAGCAACGCUGCGGUGAAUACGUUCCCGGGUCUUGUACACACCGCCCGUCAAGUCAUGAAAGUCGGUAACACCUGAAGCCGGUGGCCCAACCCUUGUGGA
rnacentral:rRNA from 1 species